GGGGCGAAGAUAAGACGGAUUAGCGGCGGACGGGUGAGUAACACGUGAGUAACCUGCCUUUUACACAGGGAUAGCCUCGGGAAACCGGGAUUAAAACCUGAUGAAACUAUCAAAUCACAUGACUAAGAAAGUUAAAACUCCGGUGGUAAAAGAUGGACUCGCGUCCCAUUAGCUAGUUGGUGAAGGUAACGGCCCACCAAGGCAACGAUGGGUAGCCGGCCUGAGAGGGUGAACGGCCACAUUGGAACUGAGAAACGGUCCAAACUCCUACGGGAGGCAGCAGCG
rnacentral:rRNA from 1 species